AUUGAACUCUGGCGGCAGUCCUAACACAUGCAAGUCGAGCGGAGCGGCGGACGGGUGAGUAAUGCCUAGGAAUCUGCCUGGUAGUGGGGGAUAACGUCCUGAAACGGGCGCUAAUACCGCAUAAUAUCAGAUGAGCCUAGGUCGGAUUAGCUAGUUGGUGGGGUACAGGCCUACCAAGGCGACGAUCCGUAACUGGUCUGAGAGGAUGCUCAGUCACACUGGAACGGAGACACGGUCCAUACUCCUACGGGAGGCAGCAGUGGUGAAUAUUGGACAAUGGGCGAAAGCCUGAUCCAGCCAUGCCGCGUGUAUGAAGAAGGCCUUCGGGUUGUAAAGUACUUUCAGCGGUGAGGCGUUACCCGCAGAAGAAGCACCGGCUAACUCCGUGCCAGCAGCCGCGGUAAUUC
rnacentral:rRNA from 1 species